GACGAACGCUGGCGGCGUGCUUAACACAUGCAAGUCGAACGGAAAGGCCCUGCUUGCAGGGUAUUCGAGAGGCGCACGGGGGUGUAACACGUGGGUGAACUGCCCUGUACCUUGGGUUAUGCCUGGGAAAAAGUGUCUAAAACCGGAGAGAAGCCAUCAUUAUAGUGAUGGUUGGAAGGUAUUUUCGGGGAAGGAUGAGUUCGCGGCCUAUCAGCUUGUUGGUGGGGUAAUGGCCUACCAAGGCGGGGACGGGUAGCCGGCCUGAGAGGGUGGACGGCCACAUUGGGGCUGAGGUGCGGCCCAGGCACCGACGGGAGGCAGCAGGGGGGAAUUUUGCACGAGGGACGCAAGCCUGGUGCAGCGACGCCGCGUGGGGGAUGACGGCCUUCUGGUUGUAAAACCCUUUCGCUAGGGGCGAAGCUUUUUGUGACGGUACCUAGAUAAGAAGCACCGGCUAACUACGUG
rnacentral:rRNA from 1 species